rnacentral:lncRNA from 1 species
GUCUAAGAAAAGAGCUUAUUCGCGGUUGUUCAAAGGGGAAACUCGCUAUAGCAGCAAGUGUGACAGUGUUGCGAAAGUUGUCUGGUUGCAGAGGAGGUUCUACAAAUAACAGAAAAGAAGAAGAAGAUGAAGCUUCAUAGUUGAGUUGUUUAACACUUGAAAGGAAGAACAGGACCGAUGAGGGAAGAAAAAAACUCGCCUUGUGAAUGUUGAAAGCAAAACGUGAUUGGUUUUUGAUGCCGAACCCCAAGACCCUUGGUUGAACCUUAAGACUCUUCAAUC